UGGGGAAUAUUGCACAAUGGGCGCAAGCCUGAUGCAGCCAUGCCGCGUGUAUGAAGAAGGCCUUCGGGUUGUAAAGUACUUUCAGUCGGGAGGAAGGUGGUAAGGUUAAUAACCUUGGCAAUUGACGUUACCGACAGAAGAAGCACCGGCUAACUCCGUGCCAGCAGCCGCGGUAAUACGGAGGGUGCAAGCGUUAAUCGGAAUUACUGGGCGUAAAGCGCACGCAGGCGGUUGAUUGAGUCAGAUGUGAAAUCCCCGGGCUUAACCCGGGAAUUGCAUCUGAUACUGGUCAGCUAGAGUCUUGUAGAGGGGGGUAGAAUUCCAGGUGUAGCGGUGAAAUGCGUAGAGAUCUGGAGGAAUACCGGUGGCGAAGGCGGCCCCCUGGACAAAGACUGACGCUCAGGUGCGAAAGCGUGGGGAGCAAACAGG
rnacentral:rRNA from 1 species